UACGAAGGGGGCUAGCGUUGUUCGGAAUUACUGGGCGUAAAGCGCACGUAGGCGGAUUUGUAAGUCAGGGGUGAAAUCCCGGGGCUCAACCUCGGAACUGCCUUUGAUACUGCAAAUCUCGAGUCCGAUAGAGGUGAGUGGAAUUCCUAGUGUAGAGGUGAAAUGCGUAGAUAUUAGGAAGAACACCAGUGGCGAAGGCGGCUCACUGGAUCGGUACUGACGCUGAGGUGCGAAAGCGUGGGGAGCAAACAGG
rnacentral:rRNA from 1 species